AAGGUAUUUACUUGUGCACCCUUAGACAAGGUCUCUCAUAUGAAUACCAUCUUACUUGACAAAGAUAUUUGCGCACGAGUUUUCUUCUUUCACAAUACGGUGGAAACAGAUGUUAUAAUCCUUUACCAAAUAACUUCUAAUUAUUUUCAAGAGGUUAGGAUAAAGAUGAAAACUCAUUAUUUUCUUUGACAUUAAAUAAUGACAUGAUAGGAGUUAGAAAAACACAUUAUUUUCUUUGCCACUACGUUUUUCUUACCCUUUCC
rnacentral:lncRNA from 1 species